UACGGAGGGUGCGAGCGUUGUCCGGAAUCACUGGGCGUAAAGGGCGCGUAGGUGGCGCGGGAAGCGUGCGGUGAAAGCCCGGGGCUCAACCCCGGGUCGGCCGUGCGAACUCCCGGGCUCGAGCACUGUAGGGGCAGGCGGAAUUCCGGGUGUAGCGGUGGAAUGCGUAGAUAUCAAGAGGAACACCUGAGGUGAAGACGGGUUGCUGGGCCGACACUGACGCUGACAGCGCGAAAGCCAGGGGAGCAAACGGG
rnacentral:rRNA from 1 species